GGACGAACGCUGGCGGCGUGCUUAACACAUGCAAGUCGAACGAUGAACCACUUCGGUGGGGAGUUAGUGGCGAACGGGUGAGUAACACUGGGCAAUCUGCCCUGCACUCUGGGACAAGCCUGGAAACGGGGUCUAAUACCGGAUACUGAUCAUCUUGGGCAUCCUUGGUGAUCGAAAGCUCCGGCGGUGCAGGAUGAGCCCGCGGCCUAUCAGCUUGUUGGUGAGGUAACGGCUCACCAAGGCGACGACGGGUAGCCGGCCUGAGAGGGCGACCGGCCACACUGGGACUGAGACACGGCCCAGACUCCUACGGGAGGCAGCAGUGGGGAAUAUUGCACAAUGGGCGAAAGCCUGAUGCAGCCGACGCCGCGUGAGGGAUGACGGCCUUCGGGUUGUAAACCUCUUUCAGCAGGGAAGAAGCGAAAGUGACGGUACCUGCAGAAGAAGCGCCGGCUAACUACGUGCCAGCAGCCGC
rnacentral:rRNA from 1 species